rnacentral:lncRNA from 1 species
UUGAAAGCUUGAGAGAAAGGACAGAGGUCUCACAAAGAAGAAGGAAUUCUGCCUCCAGACCACCUUCAGACUCCAGACUGCAGGAUCAACUCUUCCCUGAGUCUCCAGCCUGCCAGCCUGCCCUGCAGAUUUUGGACUUGUCAGCGUGCACAUUUCCGGUUAUUUCUUGGACGACUGGAAACAAUUAUAUGAAUCAGAAAGAAUGCUUGAGAAAUUGGUAAUUUUCUUUCUUAAUGAACCAGGAAAGGAAAUGAAGAGAUCUUCUCAUCAAACCUUCCAUCCAACACGAAAGUCGUGACUGCCUCAGCCAAUGUUACGCUAUCAAAUGUGAGGUAUGCAGAGGCUUGUAAAGUGUUUGUGCCUCGUGGCCUUCUCUAUCUUUCUGCUUUUGGGAACACUGUGUCUACAGCCUCUGCCAAGCAUCAGCUACCUGCCACAGAUGUGAGUGAGGUCAUCAACUACCAGCAAACUGAAAGUGCGUUACUGAGCCCAGUCAACACCACGUGAACUGGAGAUGAGUCAUCCCAGCUGUGUCCAGCUCAAGUUCCUGAACCACAGAAUCAUAGGCAAAGAAUGCCCUGUAGACUGAUGAACUGGCCCAGAAGCCUCACCACAGGCUUCUGACCCUUCUUCCACCAUUAUCAAC